CUUGUUUUCCAAGAUAACAAUGUGGAAAAACAACAGCAGCUUGCCAAACUCCUUCAGUGUACUGUUUGCAGGUUGUGCUAUUUUAUCAAUGUCCUACUAUGCUCUCUGGAAUGGUUUAUAAACUCUGUCUUGUGAGCUACAGAGGCAAUGAAAAUAUUGAAAUACAGCCCUCCCUUCCCUGUCAAAUAGACCUUCCUUCUUCUAGUACUUUUCUAUCUGUGAGCUGUAUUGUAGGGAUCUUGUUUAGCAUUUAAAAAGCUACUGCUGCACUCUAUUAUCAAAGACAUAUUUGUUAAAACAUGCAUAUGAAAGGAUUUGUAAUUGAAGUACAGCUUUGAUAUAUUUAAUAGGAUGUAAAACUGCCAUCCCUUUUUAAUAGGAGAUGCUUUAUGUGCAUUAGUAGUAAUAUAAUAAUGCCUCUCCACUGAGCUCUACCCAUUAGCAGACUUUUUUUCUCCCUUUCUUUUAGUUAAUCUUAAAACUUUAAUGUAAUCUAAACACAUUAACAUCUUUUUUCUCCCCUUUCUAUACUUGGAAGUGCUUUGAACUGAACUUUGUUUCAAAUAAGAGAUAGCUACAAACAUGGCAUCAAUAUACAGUGCCCCGGCACUGCCUGACAGAUGGCCCAUAAAGCAGCGCAUCUCCUUGCCUUGGAAAUGGUAACAGUAAUGGGAGUGAGGCUGUAUGUGGGAGCGAGCAAGCAGGCGAGCACGUGCAAGAAUAACCUUGUAAACAACACACCACAAUAAGCGUGUGCUUUUGUAUAUUCCCAUGUCUCAAAUGUAAUCAAACACCAGAGCAGCAGGAAUAGAAAAUGACAGUCAAAAAAAAAAGGUCUCUUUAAUAGCUGUCUCCAUUUUGCAGCCUCAGAAUACUUUACAAGAAAUCAUUAUGAUUCAGAAAAUAAGUAUCUAAGCUGGCAAACAUUAAAUAGGCCAAAAGUGACCACUGGUUUAGGGUACUUGUGGUUUGGUGUCUCACCUUACACACAGCUGUUUUCUGUUCCUUCCAGACCUCAGGGUCAUGCACUACUUUGCAAGCUGGCUAUCCAGAAUUGCUUGCUCUGGAAAAUCCUGGAUGUGUCUCAUAACUGUGUCAGAGGAACAAAGGUAAGAUUCCACUUGUCCUGAUUUCUAGCCUAGUACCCCACUAGCAUCCAGCAGUAUUUAUUAAUCGUGGUUGUUGUAAGAGUAUUCACAAAAUGUCUGUGAUAGUGUUGCUUUGUUAAGAAAUGGAGCCCUUUCAGAAAGAAAAUCUCUCACUUUGAUUCAGAUACACUGUUGUAUUGGGCAUGAUCAAAUUCCCAUUGUGACUGUGUGAGUAUACUUAUUGCUUUUCCUGAGAACAUCUUUUGAUUCAUUCAUUCGCUAAUGUCUUGGAGCAUUUUGAACAUGAAAAUGUUGUGCCAGUGAUUUACAGGAGCUAGAUAGCUGCAAGCCAUGGAUGCAGUGCUUUCAGAAUACAGCUUACCACCCCCUGCACGUGUUCACUAUACUGCAACACAUGCAAGCAGGCACACUGUGUAGCCCAUGUUUGGGUGACCGUGGUGAUGCUGCCAUUAUCCAGGACAUUCUGUAGGAGGUGGUCACAAGGACAAGACUCUUUGACUCUUCCCCAAUAAAUUUUUGAAUGACUGAAUGUUCCCUAAGCUGACAAAUAACUGUAGGAUGGUAUAAGUGCUCUGUCAUCCUCCAAGUGUGACACAGAUGCAGCUUUGUUUAUAGAACUGUCAGAUUCCAGCUUGGGACUAAAGUUUCCAAGCCAUUCAUCUAUUGUUUGUUAUUUUUUUCCCCAGCAAUCUGAACAUGGCUCCUCUGGCCUGCAUUGCAGCCCACAGUCAUGUCAGCAAAGGCGCACAUUUAUUCAAACAAUACAGGUCUGAAGCUGCGUAUGUAAAUAUGUGAAUAUGUUAUAAAGUUUAAAUUGAUGUUUCAUAACUAGACAGAGAGAAAAUCUCAAUUUAAUAUGAAGAAUAAAUACAUUCUUUUCCUAAAAGCAGGCAGUGCAAUUCAUUCAAUUUGCUUUUGGAUAUAUUGCCUUUGUCCAAGUGAGUGGUAUGCGUUUGGACGUUUAUAAAUGGCAGAAUUCACACAAGGUGGUUUCAGUGUCUUCUAAAACUUGUUCUCUUUUGCAGCUGUAAACCCCAGUCCUAUAUCUGCAAACAUCUGAAUUCCAAAUAACAGAUGUAUUCAUUAAGUGUCUAGCCUAUGAAAAAUAAAUCCAAUGCUUUUUCUUGGUGAUGAACUUGGUCUGCAAUAAGGACUGCUGUAAAGUAAAUUUAAGUAGAACCUUUAAAAAUGAAUUAUCAAGCCGCUAAUUGGGGAUAUUGUCACUCAUUGCAGCUUCAGCACACACCAAACUGCAGCGGGCACACUGUAAAUGCCAAGUCAGUCGUGAGUCAUCAACUGUCCAGGUUAAAGUGAGCCCAGGCAAAGUGCUGACCAGCUACCUUGGGUUAGAUGGGUGAAACAUUUUUAAAAAUUCCAGAAAAACAGAAUUGGCUUUACCAAAAGGAUGGUGGUGAAAGAGCUGAAGAAGCAGUCCUGCAGUCAAGGCUUCGUAAGAGUUCUAGCUUGGAUUUAAAACAAAACACAAGAAAAAUAAGCGAGCCAAGCUGGCAGUGAAAUCUUGGACAAAGCUAACUGUGCCCUGCAGUGUGAGCUCUGCAUGAGAUGCGAAUUCACCCCAGGUCUAACCAGACUCUGCUGGAGAAAAUGCACAUUUUUUUAUCAUCUCAGUAGGUUUAUGCAUUAUGUCUUUUCAGCGUAAGUUAGCUCCUAUACCUUUUACUCGCAGGACAACGCCAUCGACCUGGAGCACAUCACUAAACAGGAGCUGAAUUACUGCUUUCUGUUAGACACCGAAUGAUUGUCACUGGGACUACAUCCAGCUACCUGUGAGGGAUCUCCAGGAAGCCUGACACAAGAACUUUUGCAUUAGUGAAAAUGAAGUGCUCUGUUGAAGGCAUUACUUUCAGGAGACUGAAGGGAAAGGAGGGAUUCAAUGUCAUUUCACUUCCUGAAGCACAGUCUGGAGAGCGCACCUGAAGAACUGCAAGUGUUAGAUGCUCCCACAGAGCAAAGGCAUACGCCACUGGAAAAGCCCUCCUCGUGCUGACAAGCAGAUAAAAAUUUUCUAGAUGCCUCAGUUCUGGCCUGUGGAAUAAGACAACAGGGAAGGAUACAAGAAAGAAUGAAGCAGCAGCACAGGUACCACAAUCACUGAAUUAUUGUUCUAGCAAAUUUCUGCAUGAGAAACUGCCAUACUUCUAGGCUGCUCUGACUGCUCUCCCAGAAGUCACAAACUUUGUACAACUGCACAGAGAAGAACUGAAAAGAUAACAAGAAUUGAGUAAUUCUCUGUGUUUCUGAAUUAAACGCUUUUUAACCCCUCCAGCAGCAAGAAAACUCACGAUUGUAUUCUCUGUCUUCUUCCUUCUUGACUGUUAACAGAUCACAAGGCACUACAAAUUAUUACAACUUUCUUCCUCACCUGUCAUAGAAUCACUAUGGUUAGAAAAGACCUCUAAGAUCGUCCAGUCCAACCACCAACCCAUCCCCACCAUGCUCCUCAAUGCUGCAUCCGCACGGUUCUUGAACACCCCCAAGGACGGUGACUCCACCACCCCCCUGGGCAGCCUGUGCCACUGCAUCACCACUCUGCCUGAGAAGUUUUUCCUAAUACUCAACCUGAACCUCCCCCUUUCAUAGCUGGACCAGAAAUUUUCCAGCAGACAGCUCACACUGAAAGUUAAAUACACAAGAAUAUCCAAAUUAACAGAGACACUUGCAAUAAAGAUCUUAUUAAGAUGUCAACAUUGUUUACGGAUUACGGAACAACUUACAGAACCUCAAGAACUUUGUACUCCCUCUUUCUGAUCAGUGCUUGGUUGUUGCUUGGGGGAUGCAGGGAAUACACGUUUAAGACCUGCAAACUUAGAGACAACUGUUAGUGCCUAAAGAACUGAAGUCACUGAUGGCUAGACCACAGCAAGAAGGAAGCAGUGACGUGAACUGAGAGGAAUUCAGGACUCACAGACAGAUGGAGCUGUUUCCCACCUGUAGGGCUAAAUCUGGCAUAGACGACAGCCCGCAUUGAGCUGGCACUGAGCUGAGCUCCUGCCUGGUUGUGGGAAUACCCUGCUUUCAGUCUUGGGUGAAGCUGAUCUGUGAGUCCAGUCCUGGAAGUUAAGAGGUCUCUUACGCCCCACAGUGUGAAAGAAUUGGUGGGUACAUGGGUAGGAGUGGCUUCCCUGGGUAGUCAAAGCAGCCAGCUCAAAAAAACUGAGCAAUCAUGCCGAUAAACAAAAUAGAUCACUGGUUAAAAUAAAUAAUAGAAAAAAAAAAAGAAGCAGGAAUAAAUGGAGAAGGUUACUGCUAGUGUUCCUCUAAAGCAGAUUUGGGGCAACCUGUUGAGAUAAUUUACUGAUAAGGUGUCAUGCAUAACAAGGUAACGGUUUGUCUACAUUCCCACAUUACUCAAGGUUUUAAAGUGGAAGUUCACUGUGAAUAGCUGCAGAAAGAUCUGCCAGAAACUGCCAGAUAAAAUGGAAGAUAAAGUUCAAGGUCAAUAAAUGCAAAACAAAUCAUAGAUAAAAAUGGCAGUAAUUGUGCACGCUCAGUGGUACACUAAAUUAGAUAAACUUUCCUAAGAAAGAGGCAUGUCAGAGUUGAUCUAAAAAGUAAACAAAUUAGAGCUAAAAACAAAACAGAACAGGAGAUAUUGCUGUGCCACUGCAAAAAUGUAACAUGCCAGUGCACCCUGAAUACCAGCUACUGUCCUGGUCCUGGUCUCACAAAGGAUCCAAGAGUGACUGGAAAGGGUUCAGAAGUAGACAAUGAGAUCAACUGAAGGACACAGCUGCUUUCUGUCCAGGAGAAGUUACAGAUGGGGCUUCCGUGCCAUGGUAAAUGAAUGACAGAAGGGGUUACAUGGAAAAAGAUCUCACAUGACACAGAGUAGAGGAAUAGACUGGUUACGACUUGCUGACCCUCAGAAUACAGGAAUCAGAAGCUAUUGUGUUACAUGCUCAACGUGAGAACUGGAAACAACAGACCAAGAAUACAUGCUGUAUACACUGAGGCACUCUGUGCUGUGUAUACCAAAAAUUUGUACGGAUGCAACAUGCAGUUGUACAACUCAUACAGGACAAAAGAUCAAGGUCUAGGAUAGGAAAGAAAGAUGCUUUGACCAGCUUGGAGAGCCUCCAAGAUGAGGCUUCACUGGAAGCUGCAAAGAUAUCGUUGGACACUUGUCCUGCCUUUAUCCUCUUCCUUGCCUGGGUGCUGACUGCUCAUGUGAGAGUGAGGGUGGUAAGUCCAACCUCUGGGGUGUUACCAGGUGCAUUUGUGGUUAAAGCACAGCCAGCUACAAAUGACGGCAGAAAGCCAUCCAGUGUGGUGCCAAACAGCAUUUAGGGUGAAAAUGGAGAUUAAGAAGCCAGAUGGAAAAGAAGACAGCAAGUUUAAAAGGAUGGGAGCAGAGGGACACCCCAUUUUGAUACACAGUUUGAGACUGCAGCCAAAUCACAAGUGUGGCAGAGAUGGAAUGCUCAUCCAGACAUGAAAACAAAUGCCUACGUGGGUUCCCAGCUGCGUAUGAACAGAAGACAGAGCUGGGAGAAAGCUGCUUGGAGGAGAAGGAAAAUGGGAGCACACAGUCUGCACUUCUGCUCUCCUAAGGAAAUUAUUCAGUGAAACAUUAUUGAAACUGUCAGAAAUGUACUUGAAGUAGGGACUAGCUUCUUAAUUCAGAUCAGAAUGGUGGUAGUGAAGCCAGAGAAUCAGGUAUUUGACAGACCUUCACUGAAGUCAAUAUCCUUUAGCGCUGACAUCCCUAAACUGCCUACUGUAAAAAACAUCAGUAUACCUGUAUUGGAUUUUACCUAUUGUGCUCGGUCUACCUGGGUUUAUUCUCUUUCACCAAAAUAAAAAGCAAAUCCAAACCAAAACCAACAACAAUUGAACAACCACACAAAAAACAGCCUAC
ensembl:lncRNA